CCUACGGGUGGCUGCAGUCGAGAAUCAUUCGCAAUGGGCGAAAGCCUGACGAUGCGACGCCGUGUGAGCGAUGAAGGCCUUCGGGUUGUAAAGCUCUUUCGCUUGGGAACAAGAGAGGCUGGCGAAUAACCAGUUGAUUUGAGGGUACCAGGUAAAGAAGCACCGGCUAACUCCGUGCCAGCAGCUGCGGUAAUACGGAGGGUGCAAGCAUUAAUCGGAUUUAUUGGGCGUAAAGGACGCGUAGGCGGUGAGGUAAGUCGGGUGUGAAAUGCCGG
rnacentral:rRNA from 1 species